CAAACUGGAGAUGGCGACCGGCGCACGGGUGAGUAACACGUAUCCAACCUGCCGAUAACUCGGGGAUAGCCUCUCGAAAGAAAGAUUAAUACCCGAUGGCAUAAUAGAACCGCAUGGUUUGAUUAUUAAAGAAUUUCGGUUAUCGAUGGGGAUGCGUUCCAUUAGGCAGUUGGUGGGGUAACGGCCCACCAAACCUUCGAUGGAUAGGGGUUCUGAGAGGAAGGUCCCCCACAUUGGAACUGAGACACGGUCCAAACUCCUACGGGAGGCAGCAUG
rnacentral:rRNA from 1 species